UCCACACAGCCUCUGGAUACCGAUGGAAAGCCCAUGAGAGUUUCCCUCCAAGCAGGAGCAGAUCCAAAUUCUGUUAUCCUAAUUUUGUUGCUUCUAGGAUAAAUAAAGGGAUAGCUUAAUGCCUUGCAUAUAAAUGCUUCUUAACCGAUUCAGCGUCUGGGUUAGAAGGCGUUCAUUGUGCCCCUGAACGAUCUCAGUCCCAGGUGGAACCACCAGCAACCUCAGCACCGGUUAGCGAAUGGAGGAUCUGACAGUGCAGCUCCUGGACUUCAACCCUAAGGGAUAAUUCUCGUGUAUGUAAAGCCCAGUGUAAUGAGGCAACGGAUCCCACGAAUCUCAGGCUUCAGGAGCAGAUGAAACCAUGACAAGGACGUCAGCAUGGAAGCAGCAAGGCUAUGGAUCGGCACUUCGCAGACAGGAUUUUAAAGACCGGGACCACUAGAACUGCAGUCUGGAACCUGAAGGCCCAUCGCACACUCAGCACUGUCCUGGUCCUGUGCUCAGGCCUCUGUAACAUAUGCUUAUACGUGUGUCCUUCUUGCUGACUUAUAAAUGCAGUCUGGGCAAAGCUGUUUUACUUACCUUUAUGCUGCCCCCCUCAUUUGUCACAGCACUUUUCAGGUGGCAUUUAACAACUUAGAAAAAAUAAACUUAAAAAAAUUCAAGGUAAUCCACACAGGGCAUGGCUAAUAAUAGAAAGCUUCGUGAAGACGGAUAUAAAGUCAGGUGUCAGAGGAGUUCUGCGUUGGCAGAGCAGGGAUGGGGGAGGUCACUCGGAUCACCCGGGGAAUAAGAGAGGCUUUGCUGAUCCUAAGUUGCAGAAAAGGCGAGCUGGUGUAGAACCAGGAGAUCACGUCCAGUUACAUUGUUCAUACGCCGUGUGAUGGUUCAAAGUCUGGUUCCUGCAGACCAUCUCACUUUCUUCUUGCAGCCUCAUGAUGUAAGGAAGGUAUUCAUCCCAUUUUAUAGACGAGGAAGCAGAAAUUCAGUAGGUUGUCUGAUACCAAGUCCCGAACUCUUUCCUCCACGAUGCGCUGCUCCGUUUCUGUAACUGUGUGCUGAGCUGGGUGGUGGUGGGUGGGUAGCGAACGAAGGAAGGGGAACACCGGGAGCCUCUUCUCAGGGAAGCUGCAGCCUGGAGCAAGCAGGGAAGAGGCGGCGUGCUUUGAGGUGGGGACAACAGCCGACUUCCCCAAAACCAACACUUGAGGCGGCCAGGCUCGCAGCACCGUGCAAGGCUCCCCUCGGGGUUGGCCUGCAGACCCGGCCUGAAGGGCGCUGACCAGCCACCGGCUGCGAGCGCUUCCCAGGACUGGUCUUCCCGGCAGAAGCUUCUUAAACAGGAUUUCCGGUUGAGCCUUCUCAUGAGCGAGCUCAGUGGAGGUGACAGGGUAAGGGCGGAAGGAGGUGAGGAAUAGCAUCCUGGGUAAAGGAGGCGGCGUGAGCCAGGAUGAGGAGGUGAAGGGUGGCGCAGAGAGGGAAACAGGCGUGGAUGCAGGUGCCGUUGGGGACAUGGCGGGGGUCAGGUCAUGGAGGGUCUUCUGUCCUACGAGGUGUACAGCCUUACUGGAGUUGUGGUGUCCUGGAGAGGGGAGAGCCUGAGCAGGGGAAGAGACAGGGAUGGAAGGGGCCGUUUUGGGAACAGUCUCAGAUGUCGGGGCGGCGUGACUAAUGGACUCGUGCUCAUCUUAAGUGCUCACCAGGUGCCAGGCACUGGGCUGAAAUCUCUUGACAUACAGAAUCAUGAAUUCUAGUACUGCCGUGAGGUAGAAAAUAUUACCCCCAUUACUAGAUGAAGAAAUUGCAAUUUAUAGUGUUUUUAACAAACGUAGACUGGUGACACACAGCCUGUAAGCAGCAGAGCCAAGAUUCAGCGAGGAUUUCUGGU